CAUUCUCUCCGGCAUUAAACAGGUUAGGGUGUGGAGAAAGGAGAGAGUCCCACGGGUGGAUCUACACGACACGGGUCAUCACUCAGAGCAGAGGGGAGCCCCAGCGCCCCCUUUGCCAUGAAGACAUUUCUCCCACAGGAUAAAGAGAGCAGAAGCGCAUCCGCUUUACACAGUUCCUAGACCUGAAGCUCCACGCCGAGGACUCAGGCUCCGGCCAGACAGAUCCGGACUCGACUCCCAGCUCCCUUUCCAGCCGUGCGACCUCACCGAGCUAGACCAGAGCGCAAGGCACUUCAAUUUCCCCCCAUCUUAAUCACCACCGCACUCCGGGCCUACGGGAAACGUCUGACGAUGACCAAUGUGCACGCACAGGACUAGUCGAUGCUGACUCUUCCACCCGUGGCUCGUUGGCAAGAUCGCUGAAGCCUCUCACCUCCUUGGGAGGAAAACACAGCAGGCUUCAUCGCAGAGGGGAGCCGGCCUGGCCUGCAGCAUCACCCCCAUCUUGUGCCUUUGUUGACCUUGUGGUGUCCUCAACCGUGGGGAAACAGACGGUGCCUUUUGGGAAUCUGACUUGGAGAGGGAGACCUGUGCUUGUGAUCCUAGACGUGAACUAUUGCCCGUUGAGUAAAACAGCUUCUCCAGUCGCUUGUUUCUGCCCCCUCUGCUUGGAUGGACAGCGAGGUCCUAAAGUGGGUAGAUCACAAGGAGGGCUUGGUCAUGGCUGCCUCCUUCGCACAGCUCAGACCCCUGGGCAGACCCCAGCACAACAUUUACCCUCCUGAAUCUCCUUGUUAAGUAUUUUCAAGGACUGCAGCUCAGUUCCAAAAGCAAACUCUCCAUGUUGUCCCUUUCUCUCGCCCCAGGCGUGGUCCUGAGACCCUGAACACACGGUGAGCAUCCCUCCCCGCUCUGCUCAGCCUCCUGGGCAUGGCUCAGGGCAAGGCAGCAUCCCACAUGGCCCCACCCUCCGGUCUCCCCCGACAGGGACAUGAAACGAGGUCUCUAUGUGGCAGUUUAGUGAUAACCGGGUGUAGGGUCAAUGAUGGUCAGGCUUUUCUGCCCUCCCGCCAUGAGGAUGGAUGAUGGAUCCCUGCGGUCCUGAAUGCAGGCCUGAUGGCGGCACCUGGAGUGGGGUGCAGGCAUACAUAGGUGGGUGCACCUGGGCUGAGAGACUGGGCUUAUAAGGGCAGCGUCACGGGGACACCAGCAGAGCGAAAGGAGCAGAGAAGCAAAGGCCACAAGAAACACCGGAGGGCCCAAAUGGAGUGAAGAUUAACCGGGGGCUGGGAAGCCUGCCAGCCUCCUGGCCCCCCAGCACCCUACCUGCCGUGUGCCUGGCAAAGCCCAAUAAAAGCCUGUAAAAGGCACCGAGGGCUCCAGGAUUCUCCUUCACCUGUCUGCUCGGGUCGUAGACAUCCUGCUCAGUGCCCUUCCUGCCGCUACACGGGGCCAAAGGGAGGCAAGUUAAUCACCGAGGCCUGGGGCGCCAGCAGGAAGACAGGCAAAAUGGCAGCCGCAUGGGCCUCCCUGGUGGCGCAGGCGGUUGAGCACCGCGCUGUGAAGCUGUCCACAGCCGCUGCAGUGCCAGUUCAAUCCCCGCCAGCCACGGAGCAACCCACAUGCCAAGGCAGACCUCUCCUGUCUCGCCCGCUGCUCCCCUCAGUCAGUCUGCCUGUUCUGCUCCCGGCUCUGUCUCUGGUGAAUCCUCUCACCCUCCCGCGCCUCUGGCCUGUACCC